GGCGGUUCUCUGGUGACACACCCUGGAAUCAGGCUCCCUCCUCUCUGGUUCCAGGUGUGUCAUCUGAGAACCACA
rfam:Myotis lucifugus cont2.25443, whole genome shotgun sequence.